GUAGGGUACGGCGACAUGCUACCGGUGACGGUCUGGGGCAAGCUGGUGGGGUCCCUGUGCGCCAUAGCUGGCGUGCUGACCAUUGCCCUGCCCGUGCCGGUGAUCGUGUCAAAC
rfam:Macrostomum lignano uti_cns_0000419, whole genome shotgun sequence.